GGCUAUCAAUAUAAAGUACGAACUGACAAUAACUUCAACACAACUGCUUAUUUCUGUUGAAGAAACGAUAACUGUAUCAGAAGAUGACGAUGAUAAUGGUACGAGGUAUUCUUUUUGCCGUCCUACUGGUAGCUAGUCUUGUCGUGAUGAGCCAGUCGCUUCCUACUGAAAUCCCGACAGAACUUCCCUCUCCAACAACCCCGAGUCUUGCACCGUGUAGAAUUUUCCAAAUUCUCAAGUUCCUUCUUCCAGACCGAUGUAAAGGUUUCACUCUCACUAGGCCUCCUACUCCGGAGCCAACACCGAUUGUUUAACUAUAAUAUAUUCAUAGGCAUUCGGCAUUCAUGUUAAUUAUUGGUUUCUUGAUGAAAUGAUUGGUUUUAAAACUUAAAGAUAUAUCAUGUUUCAUGUUUCAAUUAAA